rfam:Triticum aestivum genome assembly, contig: Triticum_aestivum_CS42_TGACv1_scaffold_093359_2AL
GGCCUUUGGUCCCGGUUGGUGCCAGCAAGCGGGACUAAAGGGGGCAUUGGUCCCGGUUCGUGGCACAAACCGGGACCAAUGCCCCCCCUUAGUCCCGGUUGGUGCCACCAACCGGGACCAAAGGCCGCC